rnacentral:lncRNA from 1 species
GAGCGAGGAGCACUAUAGUUUUUAUGGUGAUCUCCAAUGAUGAGAAUCCUAUGUAGAAUGGGCAUACUAAAAAAAGAAACCGAAAAUCAACAUGGUAACAAUUUGAAGAAUGUUUUGGAGGAGAGAAAGAAUAAUACUCAUGACGUUUUAUUAGAUCAGAUACAAUCAGCUGUGACAAGAAAGAAAGGAGAAAAGGAUAAAAACGAGGACAUUUACUAGAACUACUCCGAUAUUGAUCCCCAAUUCUACUCUGAGUCAAAUUAUAACUCCGCAACAAAUUCUCAGGGUUACACUCCGGCUUUUAUGCGUACACACGAACGUUCAAACAGGUUUUGAAUAUAAUCAAAUUUAUUAAGGUAAGGAUGAUCACUACUCAGCAAUUAAAUAAUAAUGAAAACUGCUAAGGAAAAGAAAAUUUCUUCUUUAUACUAUCAAUUACAAAAUUAAUGGGCCAGCUAAAAAAAUACACCGGAUUUACAUUAUUGGUGAUCUCUAUCAACAUAUAUUUAAUCUGUCAAAUCUGUUUUGCCAACAUAUACUUGCUUUUUGAUUUAAGCUCACGAGGAUUCCGACUAUGUUGAAAUUCCUAAUCGUGAAUAUUGAGAGUCACAAGGUCUUACUUGAUGGUGCUGUUAUUCUAUGAUUUCAUGUCAGCUGUUGCUAUUUUAAUUUAGUUUUUAAACCUUUGUAUGCAUCUAAAUUUGUGCUUUUGGUUUAAUUAUUUUAACAAUGAUCCUUAUUUAAACACAAUAUGGGAUAUAUUGCUGAGGAAAAAUAAGUUAUGAAUAGUGUUGAUUUGAACAUUUAAGUACUUAUAUAUGCCUACCAAUACCACCUACGUACUACUUACGUUACUUAUGUCAUCAGCCAUUAUAUUGUGAGUGAUUUAUUUAUUUAUAAAAUAGUUUUUAACCAUUUGUUUUCCUUUAUUUUGUAAAUAUAAGACAUACUAUUAGUAGUUUUUUUUUACUUUUGAAACACCUUAUUUAUUUUGUUUUUCUAAUCUAUUUUAACUCAAGAAAAUGAAGUAAUUUUUGUUAUGUAAUCUGCAAAUUCCUUACUGGCAAAUCUACCUAGUCAUAAUUUCUUAAUAUAUUAUACAAUGUAUAUGAAGCGAAUCUUUUUUAUAUUUUUUCCAAAUUCGUUUGAGUUUCAAUGUCUCUGUAAUAAUUAAUUGUCUUUUUAUUUUCUAGGAAAGAAGUAUAACAAUGAAUCUACAAUUUUAUUUAUUUCAAAUUAUUCAAGCGCCUUAUUGAAUUUAUAUUUUUCAGGAUUUUCUGUCCCUAUAUAAUAAAAGAGCUCUUGCUGAAAAGGAUAAUAUCUUAAAGGAAAUUUCUUGAAAGACAUUGUGAAAGUCAUAGUGGUUUCGGAGAUUUGUCUUGGUUUUUGAUAGAGGAGGAGACUCGAGACUUGAAACUCGACUUGGACUUGAGUCCAUAUUUUGGAGACUUGCAAAUUAACUUGAUCUCACAAUCAAAGACUCGAGACUUGAAUUGGAACUGAUAGUUUUAGAGCUGCACUGGACGGUAGUCUUCAGUACUAAAUAAGAAUUGACAAACAAGCAUUAGUCACAAUAUGAGAUUUACAAUAAACUGGAAUAUAUGCAAAUAUUCAAGGACUCGAUUUGGGCUCGAUGAAAAUAUACAAGGACUUGGACUAGUGAGGAAAGUUUUUCAGCCCAAUUUUUGAAGAUAUUGACCUCUUCUAAAUCUCAAUCCUCCAUAGUCUUGUUCUCCUGAACCAAGAUCAAAGCAGCUAUAUUCAAAUUUCCUACUCAAAAAAGACUUGGUAGCAGGACUUCAUCGUGUAGUCUAGCGACUCAUUAAGUACUGAUAUGAGGACUCAAAAACUACUCGAGAAUCCUUUUCUGGAAAUGUUUUACAAGACAGUUAAUUGCACAAUAUUUUGUAUUUAUAUAAUUAUCAAAUACAUACUUUAAUUUGAAGCCUAUUAAAUGUGUAUGUAGGCUGUAAAAUGAAACACUGAAACAAAUAUGUAUGCAUAUGCCUCGUUUUGAAAUGUGAUGCCACUUGAAUACAUACAUAGAUACAUACAGUGUACAUAUUUUUGCCGACGUCUACACACUAUUAAUUUAUAUUAUUUAUAUUAUUAAAAUAUCAAAUUUUAUCAAAUAUAAUGGGAUGUCUUUUUUCUCCUUUACUUGAAUGAAAUUCUUGACAAGUUCAGUACGUAAACUUAACUUUUUGCACCACUUCGACUUACUUAGAUAUAAAUUAGAUUCAAUGUAAUGACACCAUAAUUAGAGUUGUUUUAUUAUAUAUUAAAAAAAAAAAAAAUAUAUAUUAAAGGGUUGCCUGGAUAAAUCUGGACAAAAUUCAAUUGAUAAUAACACUGGUACCCUUGCACUAAGUUCACAUAAGAGUGUCUCAAUUAAGAAGUUGCAGUCUUGUGUUUAAUAUUUAAUCAAGCUUAAAUGAUAAGCCAGGAGCACUGUCUACGAGAUCUACACCAUGCUCAAAAAUGAGAAAAA